rnacentral:SRP_RNA from 1 species
ACUGGGCUUGGUGGCACGUGCCUGUAGUCCCAGCUACUCGGGAGGCUGAGGUGGGAGGAUUGCUUGAGCCCAGGAGUUCUGGGCUGUAGUGCGCUAUGCCGAUCAGGUGUCUGCACUAAGUUCGGCAUCAGUAUGGUGACCUCCUGGGAGCAGGAGACCACCAGGUUGCCUAAGGAGGGGUGAACUGGCCCAGGUCAGAAACAGAGCAGGUCAAAACUCCUGUGCUGAUCAGUAGUGGGAUCGCACCUAUGAAUAGCCACUGCACCCCAGCCUGGGCAACAUAGCGAGACCCCGUCUCU